rnacentral:rRNA from 1 species
UUAAAUAAAGACCAGUAUGAAUGGCAUCACGAGAGUUCAACUGUCUCCCACACCCAAUCAGUGAAACUGAUCUCCCCGUGCAGAAGCGGGGAUAAAACCAUAAGACGAGAAGACCCCAUGGAGCUUUAAACUAAAGGCACUAGCUUCUUAUUAAUACCCAAGGACAAAAUAUUUAACCAACUAAAGUGACCUGUCGUUUUCGGUUGGGGCGACCACGGAGAAAAGCAAAUCCUCCGAAAUGAAAGGGACAACCCUUAGCUAAGACUCACAACUCUAAGCAAUAGAACAUCUAACACACCGAUCCAAUCAAAUUGAUCAACGAACCAAGUUACCCUGGGGAUAACAGCGCAAUCUAUUUUCAGAGUUCAUAUCGACAAAUAGGUUUACGACCUCGAUGUUGGAUCAGGGCCUCCUAGCGGUGCAGCCGCUGCUAAGGGU